GCCGAAAUAGCUCAGUUAAGGAGAGCGUUAGACUGAAAGAUCUAAAGGUCCUAGGUUCAAUCGGUUUUCGGCA